AUGGAUGUAGCUCAAUGAUAGAGCACUUGCCUGGCAUGUGUGAGGCACUGAGUUCAAUCCUCAGCAGCAUA
rnacentral:tRNA from 1 species